rnacentral:rRNA from 1 species
GACGAACGCUGGCGGCGUGCUUAACACAUGCAAGUCGAACGGAAAGGCCCUGCUUUUGUGGGGUGCUCGAGUGGCGAACGGGUGAGUAACACGUGAGUAACCUGCCCUUGACUUUGGGAUAACUUCAGGAAACUGGGGCUAAUACCGGAUAGGAGCUCCUGCUGCAUGGUGGGGGUUGGAAAGUUUCGGCGGUUGGGGAUGGACUCGCGGCUUAUCAGCUUGUUGGUGGGGCAGUGGCUUACCAAGGCUUUGACGGGUAGCCGGCCUGGGAGGGUGACCGGCCACAUUGGGACUGAGAUACGGCCCAGACUCCUACGGGAGGCAGCAGUGGGGAAUAUUGCACAAUGGGCGGAAGCCUGAUGCAGCAACGCCGCGUGCGGGAUGACGGCCUUCGGGUUGUAAACCGCUUUCGCCUGUGACGAAGCGUGAGUGACGGUAAUGGGUAAAGAAGCACCGGCUAACUACGUG